rnacentral:lncRNA from 1 species
CAUGGAAUCAAUAUAGAAAUGAUUAAUGUUAAGAUUUAUAUUCUCUUUUCUUCCAAAUCUUAGAUAUCUGAUGUGUCAUCUCUCCAGAACAUCUCAGAACGGGCUCAUUCAUUGCCACUGCUCAGUAGCCAUAUGUUCCCAGUGGCUGCUACACUGGACACUGCGGUCCUGGGUGGUGGAAGUGGAGGCUUGGCAGCAGGGACUCAAGAACAACAGAGGAGAAAACAGCAUCAGUCUCCCUGUCCUCAGAAAACACAAGUGCAGCAGAUGGGAUCAAGCAGGCAGCGAAUUUGAAGCCCAGGAUGAGACUAAUGAAAAUAGGUUUAAAGAAGUGUUCCACAUAUCCCACAUUGUUUGCACCUUGAAAUAGUGACGCAAUUAUACCCAUUUCAGAGAUAAACAAAAUAGAUGUCAAAGAGAUGAUGUCACUUGUCCAAAGUUACCCAGAAUUUAAAUAUAGGUCUACAUGACUCCAAAACCAGAAAGAACUUGACGUAUUUAAAGAACUGAAAAUAGGCCAGGGUGGUCAGAGUACAGGAUGUGAGGGCCAGAAAAUGGAAAGAUUUAUAGGUCAUGGAGUGAAGCUUAGAUUUUUAUUAAUGGGGCCCUGGGGAAGCAGGAAAGGAUUUUAAAGCAGAGGACUGACAGGGCCAGAUCUGCAUUUUACAAGACUUUAUCUAGCUGCUGUUCUAAGAGUGGACUGGAAAGGAACAAGAGCCAGUAUGGAGACCAGCAGAGAGGCUGUGGCUGGAUGGUGUGGACAGAUGCUAAUGUAAUUAUGAGACAUUUGGGGACAAGUCACGGAAUUUGGCAACAGAUUGGAUUUAGAACUUGAAAGAAGAGAUAAAGGAUAAUACCAGGUGACCAACUUCCACAACUGAGUCGAAAGUGGUGAUAUUUCAAGUAAUAGAAGGAAAAUCUUUUGAGAGGAAACAGCCUUGGGGGCUUCUAAAGUAUAACCAACAUUUUAAUUAAAUCAGCACCUAUUGCCUACCAGGUCCCAGUCCCCAUACUUGAGAAAUGGAGUGACUCCCACAGUGUCUGCAGACUCACUCUGUCCUCCAACAAUGACCUCACCCUUAGCACACUCCUCUUCCCCAGCUCUCUUUUUUCUUGGGGUGAGUUCUUUCCCAGAAGGCACCUCUCCACUCCAUGCCGGCUGUACCCAGUGAUCCAGCUGAGUUUGUCUGAAACCUCAGAGGACACCAACAGGGCUCUGGACAUUGUUCAUUCCUCUCACUUUUGGUUAAGCCCUCCAGUCUCUUUAGCAAGGUCAACUAGAGUCCUCAAAAAUCUCCACUGGUCCAUGAGCUACAAAAAGUAACUACUUGGAAAAAUUCUAUUUCCCUACUUUCUAUUAUCUAUCUUUUAUUUUGAUUUUUGUUUAUAGUUCAGGUUUCUUGUAUAAAGAAACUGUGCAGUAUUUAAGUUUAUGCAUCUGAUUUGUUUCACUUGACAAUGUGGUCUCAAACUGUGUCCGUUUUUCUGCAGCUGACUCAAGUUUAUCCUUCUUUAUGGCAGACUAGUACUCCACUGUAUAUAAAUAUCACAUCUUCAUACAUUCACUCUUCUCUUGAUGGAGAUAUAUGCUGCUUCCAAGAUUUAGCUAUUAUGAAUUUUGCUGCGACACAUUUUUUCAUAUAUUUACUUGCUGCUUUUACUUCUCUGUCUGAGAAAUGUCAGUUCAUUUCAGAUGCCCAUUUUAGAAUUGGGUCUUAUAUUGGGGGGGCUGGUUGUUUUGGGUUCUUUAUAUAUCUUUCCUCCAGUGGGACUGGUCAGCUCCUUUGUCAAAGAUGAGGUAGCUGAGUACAUCUGGAGUUGUUUUUGUGUCUUCCAGUCUGUUCCACUGAUCCUCAGGUCUGUUUCUUUGCUAGUACCAUGCUGUUUUUAUCACAGUGGCUUUGUAGUAUAGUUUCAAAUUGGGAAUUGUUACACCUGCUGCCAUGUGUCUGUUGCCUAGGAUGACUUUUGCUAUUCUAGGUCUCUUAUGGUUCCAAAUGAAUUUUUGGAUUCUUUUUUCUAGUUCUGUGAAGUAUAGUGUUGGAAUUUCAAUUGGCAUUGCAUUGAAUAUGUAUAGCAUUUUUGGUAGUGUGGCCAUUUUCACUAUGUUGAUUCUUCCUACCCAGGAGCAGGGAAUAUCUUUCCAUUUUCUUAUAUCCUCUUUGAUCUCUUUUUUCAGAGUGCUGUAGUUUUCAGUGUAGAGGUCUUUUGCUUCUUUUGUUGGGUUGAUUUCUAGAUGCUUCAUUUUAUUGGAUGCUAUUGUGAAAGGAAUUGUUUCCCUAAUUUCUCUCUCAGUGAGUCUGUUAUUUGUGUACAAGAAGGCUAUUGAUUUUUGGGUGUUGACCUUGUAUCCAGCUACUCCACUACAAGUGUCAAUUAAGUCUAGAAGUCUUUUGGUGGAGUUUUUUGGGUCUUCAAUGUAGAGUAUCAUAUCAUCAGCUGCUAUCAAGAAAUCACACAAUAACAAAUGUUGGCAGGGUUGUGGGGAGAAAGGAACCCUUCUCCAUUGUUGGUGGGAGUCCAGAUUGGUGCAUCCACGAUGUAAAUCAAUAUGGAGAUACCUCAAAGAGCUAGGACUAGAGGUUCCAUUUGACCCAGCCAUCCCUCUGCUGGGUAUCUUUCCAAAAGAAUUAAAAGAAUCAUAUCACAGUGACAUAUGCACACCUAUGUUUAUAGCAGCACAGUUUGUAAUAGCUAAAACUUGGAAACAGCCCAUUUGCCCAUCCGUUGGAAACUGGAUAAAGAAGAUGUGUUUUUUCUAUAAAAUGGAAUACCACUCAGCCAUAAAGAAUGAGAAAUUAAAGUCAUUCAUAGGAAAAUGGAUACAUUUUGAGGAUAUACUCUUAAAUGAAAAAAAUAAGUCACACAUGUGUAAAUACUGAAUAGUUUCUCUGGUGUGAAAAACUAUAAUAGUACUCAAGAUCCUAAUGGGAUAAUUAACAAUGUGAAAAAGGAAGAAAAGGGCUAAAGGUGUAGGGAAAGUGGGAAGCAUAGGGAAGGGCAAUAAGGGAAAAGAAAAAAAUGUAAGAAAAUGAAAAAAUGGAAUUAAAGUGUUUGUAAAUGGGGAGGGGGGGUGAAGACAGAGUAGGGAUAAGGGGAAAAAAUGAGAACCAGGACCUGUCAUAUAAAGGUACUAGAUCCCAGUAAUGAAUGUAACUGUACUGUAUACCUAAAAUGUACCAAUAAACUCAAUAAAAAAAGAAUUUUGCUGCUAUGAACACUUAAAAAUAUAGUCAUUAUACAUUGCAAACACUAAUAAAAUAUAAAAACUGAAAAAAUAAAAUGUCUUUUAAAAAGUAACUUCUCGGAGCUCUGAGAA